UGUAGACUUUUGCUUUGUGACAGUUCUCCCCAUCCUCGACUACUAAAUGACGAACCCUCUUUAACUGUGAAAUGUACCUGCAAAGUCAAGCAGUGUCUUUGGAUACCCAAGUUCAGAUAUGAACAAGCAAGCUACAAAAGCGGGGUGGGCGGGUAUGAGUGAGCAGAAGAGAGGAACCGGGCUGCAAAAAAGGAAAAUAAAGGCGGGACGUGGGGGUAUGAUUUGCUGAAUGGCACCAAAGUUGAUUUUUUGCACCGUGCACAGUGAUCGAGCUGAGCAAAUCUUUUUUUUUUUUUAAUUAUAAGCAGCGGUAAGAACAACAACAAAAUUACAUUUGGAAAAUGAUUUGCAUUUUCUCGCUCUGAUCAUUUCACUUUCCCUGGGAAAGGGAUGUCAAGGCAGGUAAAGUGGGCCCUCGGUAUCCCUAGGUAAUUGGUUCCAGGACCCCCGCAGAUACCCAAAUCCACCCAUGCUUAAGUCUCUUUUAUAAAAUGGUGUAGUAUUUGCAUAUAACCUACACACAUCCUCCUAUAUGCUUUAAAUCAUCUCUAGAUUGCUUACAAUACCUAAUACACUGUAAAUGCUAUGUAAACAGUUGUUACACUGUACUUUUUAUUCAUAUUAUUUUUUUUCUUAUUCUUCGGAGGGGACAGAUUAUUGGCCCAAGAGGGAAAUCCUUUUACAACCUACUUUUACAUUGACUGGGAUCUCAAGAGCCUUGACAGGGAGGUUGGAAUCACAGACUAUAAGGCUUCAAAAUGAAUUUGGAGAUUGUGUUCAUGGAUCUGCUUGCUUUUCUGUUUUUGUUUGUAACUCAGUGCAUAUGGACCUCCAGAGUGUCAGUCAAUCCCCAACCUGUUCAUAAUUGUUUUAUAUAUUUGCACGUGUGCGCUAUUCUAAGGAGAAUGUCCAUGGC
rnacentral:lncRNA from 1 species